rnacentral:rRNA from 1 species
GGGCGCACGGUGGAUGCCUUGACACUAGGAGUCGAUGAAGGACGGGACUAACGCCGAUAUGCUUCGGGGAGCUGUAAGUAAGCUUUGAUCCGAAGAUUUCCGAAUGGGGAAACCCACCAUACGUAAUGGUAUGGUAUCCUUAUCUGAAUACAUAGGGUAAGGAAGACAGACCCAGGGAACUGAAACAUCUAAGUACCUGGAGGAAGAGAAAGCAAAUGCGAUUUCCUGAGUAGCGGCGAGCGAAACGGAACAUAGCCCAAACCAAGAGGCUUGCCUCUUGGGGUUGUAGGACAUUCUAUACGGAGUUACAAAGGAACGAGGUAGACGAAGCGACCUGGAAAGGUCCGUCGUAGAGGGUAACAACCCCGUAGUCGAAACUUCGUUCUCUCUUGAAUGUAUCCUGAGUACGGCGGAACACGUGAAAUUCCGUCGGAAUCUGGGAGGACCAUCUCCCAAGGCUAAAUACUCCCUAGUGAUCGAUAGUGAACCAGUACCGUGAGGGAAAGGUGAAAAGCACCCCGGAAGGGGAGUGAAAGAGAUCCUGAAACCGUGUGCCUACAAAUAGUCAGAGCCCGUUAACGGGUGAUGGCGUGCCUUUUGUAGAAUGAACCGGCGAGUUACGAUCCCGUGCGAGGUUAAGCUGAAGAGGCGGAGCCGCAGCGAAAGCGAGUCUGAAUAGGGCGUUUAGUACGUGGUCGUAGACCCGAAACCAGGUGAUCUACCCAUGUCCAGGGUGAAGUUCAGGUAACACUGAAUGGAGGCCCGAACCCACGCACGUUGAAAAGUGCGGGGAUGAGGUGUGGGUAGCGGAGAAAUUCCAAUCGAACCUGGAGAUAGCUGGUUCUCCCCGAAAUAGCUUUAGGGCUAGCCUUAAGUGUAAGAGUCUUGGAGGUAGAGCACUGAUUGGACUAGGGGUCCUCAUCGGAUUACCGAAUUCAGUCAAACUCCGAAUGCCAAUGACUUAUCCUUAGGAGUCAGACUGCGAGUGAUAAGAUCCGUAGUCAAAAGGGAAACAGCCCAGACCGCCAGCUAAGGUCCCAAAGUGUGUAUUAAGUGGAAAAGGAUGUGGAGUUGCUUAGACAACUAGGAUGUUGGCUUAGAAGCAGCCACCAUUUAAAGAGUGCGUAAUAGCUCACUAGUCGAGUGACUCUGCGCCGAAAAUGUACCGGGGCUAAAUACACCACCGAAGCUGCGGAUUGAUACCAAUGGUAUCAGUGGUAGGGGAGCGUUCUAAGGACAGUGAAGUCAGACCGUAAGGACUGGUGGAGUGCUUAGAAGUGAGAAUGCCGGUAUGAGUAGCGAAAGACGGGUGAGAAUCCCGUCCACCGAAUGCCUAAGGUUUCCUGAGGAAGGCUCGUCCGCUCAGGGUUAGUCAGGACCUAAGCCGAGGCCGACAGGCGUAGGCGAUGGACAACAGGUUGAUAUUCCUGUACCACCUCUUUAUCGUUUGAGCAAUGGAGGGACGCAGAAGGAUAGAAGAAGCGUGCGAUUGGUUGUGCACGUCCAAGCAGUUAGGCUGAUAAGUAGGCAAAUCCGCUUAUCGUGAAGGCUGAGCUGUGAUGGGGAAGCUCCUUAUGGAGCGAAGUCUUUGAUUCCCCGCUGCCAAGAAAAGCUUCUAGCGAGAUAAAAGGUGCCUGUACCGCAAACCGACACAGGUAGGCGAGGAGAGAAUCCUAAGGUGUGCGAGAGAACUCUGGUUAAGGAACUCGGCAAAAUGACCCCGUAACUUCGGGAGAAGGGGUGCUUUCUUAACGGAAAGCCGCAGUGAAUAGGCCCAAGCGACUGUUUAGCAAAAACACAGCUCUCUGCGAAGCCGUAAGGCGAAGUAUAGGGGGUGACACCUGCCCGGUGCUGGAAGGUUAAGGAGAGGGGUUAGCGUAAGCGAAGCUCUGAACUGAAGCCCCAGUAAACGGCGGCCGUAACUAUAACGGUCCUAAGGUAGCGAAAUUCCUUGUCGGGUAAGUUCCGACCCGCACGAAAGGUGUAACGAUUUGGGCACUGUCUCAACCAGAGACUCGGUGAAAUUAUAGUACCUGUGAAGAUGCAGGUUACCCGCGACAGGACGGAAAGACCCCGUGGAGCUUUACUGUAGCCUGAUAUUGAAUUUUGGUACAGUUUGUACAGGAUAGGCGGGAGCCUUUGAAACCGGAGCGCUAGCUUCGGUGGAGGCGCUGGUGGGAUACCGCCCUGACUGUAUUGAAAUUCUAACCUACGGGUCUUAUCGACCCGGGAGACAGUGUCAGGUGGGCAGUUUGACUGGGGCGGUCGCCUCCUAAAGUGUAACGGAGGCGCCCAAAGGUUCCCUCAGAAUGGUUGGAAAUCAUUCGUAGAGUGCAAAGGCAUAAGGGAGCUUGACUGCGAGACCUACAAGUCGAGCAGGGACGAAAGUCGGGCUUAGUGAUCCGGUGGUUCCGCAUGGAAGGGCCAUCGCUCAACGGAUAAAAGCUACCCCGGGGAUAACAGGCUUAUCUCCCCCAAGAGUCCACAUCGACGGGGAGGUUUGGCACCUCGAUGUCGGCUCAUCGCAUCCUGGGGCUGUAGUCGGUCCCAAGGGUUGGGCUGUUCGCCCAUUAAAGCGGUACGCGAGCUGGGUUCAGAACGUCGUGAGACAGUUCGGUCCCUAUCCGUCGUGGGCGUAGGAAAUUUGAGAGGAGCUGUCCUUAGUACGAGAGGACCGGGAUGGACGCACCGCUGGUGUACCAGUUGUUCUGCCAAGGGCAUAGCUGGGUAGCUAUGUGCGGAAGGGAUAAGUGCUGAAAGCAUCUAAGCAUGAAGCCCCCCUCAAGAUGAGAUUUCCCAUAGCGUAAGCUAGUAAGAUCCCUGAAAGAUGAUCAGGUUGAUAGGUUCGAGGUGGAAGCAUGGUGACAUGUGGAGCUGACGAAUACUAAUAGAUCGAGGACUUAACCAU